rnacentral:rRNA from 1 species
CACCGCGGUUAAACGAUUCGCCCAAGUUGACAGCCUUCGGCAAAAAGCGUGGUUAAUUAAUACUAAAACUAAAGUCGAACCCAUUCGAGUCUGUUAAAAGUAUACGAAAUGGAGAAGCCCAACAACGAAAGUGACUUUAAAAACAAUGAAUCCACGAAAGCUAUGAAA